UCGACUUAUGGUCGUCCAGGAGUCGGAGC
rnacentral:sRNA from 1 species